rnacentral:rRNA from 1 species
GUGGGGAAUAUUGGACAAUGGGCGCAAGCCUGAUCCAGCCAUGCCGCGUGAGUGAUGAAGGCCUUAGGAUUGUAAAAUUCUUUCACCGGGGACGAUAAUGACGGUACCCGGAGAAGAAGCUCCGGCUAACUUCGUGCCAGCAGCCGCGGUAAUACGAAGGGGGCUAGCGUUGCUCGGAAUUACUGGGCGUAAAGGGCGCGUAGGCGGACAGCUUAGUCAGAGGUGAAAGCCCAGGGCUCAACCUUGGAAUUGCCUUUGAUACUGGCUGUCUUGAGUUUGGGAGAGGUGAGUGGAACUCCGAGUGUAGAGGUGAAAUUCGUAGAUAUUCGGAAGAACACCAGUGGCGAAGGCGACUCACUGGCCCAAUACUGACGCUGAGGCGCGAAAGCGUGGGGAGCAAACAGGAUUAGAAACCCCUGUAGUCC